rnacentral:rRNA from 1 species
UACGAGGGGGGCAAGCGUUGUUCGGAAUUAUUGGGCGUAAAGGGCGCGUAGGCGGUGCGGUAAGUCUGAUGUGAAAUCUCCGGGCUCAACUCGGAGUCUGCAUCAGAAACUGCCGUGCUCGAGUGUGGGAGAGGUGAGUGGGAAUUCCCGGUGUAGCGGUGAAAUGCGUAGAUAUCGGGAGAACACCUGUGGCGAAAGCGGCUCACUGGCCACAACUGACGCUGAGGCGCGAAAGCUAGGGGAGCAAACAGG